rnacentral:misc_RNA from 1 species
AACAAGGCGUACCUGCGGACCUGCGGAAGGAUCAUUAACCUUUCAAAUCAGGGUGCGGCGCGGCCCCCGAGGAGCGGAAACAAUCCUUGGGAGGUAUGCGGGGGCUUCGAGCCCCCCAUUUACGCACGCACGACUGCCAUCCUUACUUUACGAGCACCUUCUGUUCUCCCUCGGCGGGGCAACCUGCCGUUGGAACCGAAUAAACUCUUUUUGCAUCUAGCAUUACCUGUUCCGAAACAA